rnacentral:tRNA from 1 species
AGGGAUGUAGUGCACCUUGGUAGCACGUUUGUUUUGGGUACAAAAUGUCACGGUUCAAAUCCUAUCAUCCCUA